rnacentral:rRNA from 1 species
GAUGAACGCUGGCGGCGUGCCUAAUACAUGCAAGUCGAGCGAAUGGAUUAAGAGCUUGCUCUUAUGAAGUUAGCGGCGGACGGGUGAGUAACACGUGGGUAACCUGCCCAUAAGACUGGGAUAACUCCGGGAAACCGGGGCUAAUACCGGAUAACAUUUUGAACCGCAUGGUUCGAAAUUGAAAGGCGGCUUCGGCUGUCACUUAUGGAUGGACCCGGGUCGCAUUAGCUAGGUGGGGAGGUAACGGCUCACAAAGGCAACGAUGCGUAGCCGACCUGAGAGGGUGAUCGGCCACACUGGGACUGAGACACGGCCCAGACUCCUACGGGAGGCAGCAGUAGGGAAUCUUCCGCAAUGGACGAAAGUCUGACGGAGCAACGCCGCGUGAGUGAUGAAGGCUUUCGGGUCGUAAAACUCUGUUGUUAGGGAAGAACAAGUGCUAGUUGAAUAAGCUGGCACCUUGACGGUACCUAACCAGAAAGCCACGGCUAACUACGUGCCAGCCGCCGCGGUAA